AGUUGCCAGCGGGUAAUGCCGGGAACUCUAACGAAACUGCCGGUGUAAACCGUGAGGAAGGUGGGAUGACGUCAAAUCAGCACGGCCCUUAUGUCCAGGGCUACACACGUGUUACAAUGGCCGGUACAGAGGGCAGCUACCUGGAGACAGGAUGCGAAUCUCGAAAGCCGGUCUCAGUUCGGAUCGGAGUCUGCAACUCGACUCCGUGAAGCUGGAUUCGCUAGUAAUCGCGCAUCAGCCAUGGCGCGGUGGAUACGUUCCCGGGCCUU
rnacentral:rRNA from 1 species